AGACGCUGGCGGCAGGCCUAACACAUGCAAGUCGAGCGCGCCCUUCGGGGUGAGCGGCGGACGGGUUAGUAACGCGUGGGAAUAUACCCGACACUAAGGAAUAGCCUCUGGAAACGGAGAGUAAUACCUUAUACGCCCUUCGGGGGAAAGAUUUAUCGGUGACGGAUUAGCCCGCGUUAGAUUAGAUAGUUGGUGGGGUAAUGGCCUACCAAGUCUACGAUCUAUAGCUGGUUUUAGAGGAUGAUCAGCAACACUGGGACUGAGACACGGCCCAGACUCCUACGGGAGGCAGCAGUGGGGAAUCUUGGACAAUGGGCGCAAGCCUGAUCCAGCCAUGCCGCGUGAGUGAUGAAGGCCUUAGGGUCGUAAAGCUCUUUCGCCAGAGAUGAUAAUGACAGUAUCUGGUAAAGAAACCCCGGCUAACUCCGUGCCAGCAGCCGCGGUAAUACGGAGGGGGUUAGCGUUGUUCGGAAUUACUGGGCGUAAAGCGCGCGUAGGCGGAUUAGUAAGUUAGAGGUGAAAUCCCGGGGCUCAACCCCGGAACUGCCUUUAAUACUGCUAGUCUUGAGUUCGAGAGAGGUGAGUGGAAUUCCGAGUGUAGAGGUGAAAUUCGUAGAUAUUCGGAGGAACACCAGUAGCGAAGGCGGCUCACUGGCUCGAUACUGACGCUGAGGUGCGAAAGUGUGGGGGAGCAAACAGGAUUAGAUACCCCUGGUAGUCCACACCGUUAA
rnacentral:rRNA from 1 species